UGGGGAAUAUUGCACAAUGGGGGAAACCCUGAUGCAGCGACGCCGCGUGAACGAAGAAGGUAUUCGUAUCGUAAAGUUCUGUCCUAUGGGAAGAUAAUGACAGUACCAUAGAAGAAAGCUCCGGCUAAAUACGUGCCAGCAGCCGCGGUAAUGCGUAUGGAGCGAGCGUUGUCCGGAAUUAUUGGGCGUAAAGGGUACGCAGGCGGUUUAAUAAGUCGAAUGUUAAAGAUCGGGGCUCAACCCCGCAAAGCAUUGGAAACUGAUAAACUUGAGUAGUGGAGAGGAAAGUGGAAUUCCUAGUGUAGUGGUGAAAUACGUAGAUAUUAGGAGGAAUACCAGUAGCGAAGGCGACUUUCUGGACACAAACUGACGCUGAGGUACGAAAGCGUGGGGAGCAAACAGG
rnacentral:rRNA from 1 species